rnacentral:misc_RNA from 1 species
UUUCCGUAGGUGAACCUGCGGAAGGAUCAUUACAGAGUCCGCCUACUUGUAGGCACCUCUCACCCUUGAAUACAUACCUUUGUUGCUUUGGCGGGCCGCGAUUUUCGCGUUGGCCUUGGCUAACUGUGCCUGCCAGAGGAAAACCAAACUCUGAAUGUCAGUGUCGUCUGAGUAAAAACAUAAUAAGUUAAAACUUUCAACAACGGAUCUCUUGGUUCUGGCAUCGAUGAAGAACGCAGC